rnacentral:rRNA from 1 species
AAUAACCGACUUGUUAACUCCGACAAUAUGGAAGUAAUUGACACGAUGAAGAGUGGAGGACAUACAGCGGGAGCGGCGGCAGCUGUGUUUGAUGAUUGUUAUUUUUUGGCUUGUGAUUUUUCGUUAGUUAGAUUUGAACACUGUAAUAGAAAGGCAAAUAAAGUAGCUCAUGAAGUUGCUAGAGUAGCCAAAUUUUCUGAGACAAAGGACUGGUUUUAGGAACCUAUGAACGAUAUUGUAAAUUUUUUUAUAGACGAUGUAACCGUUAUUACUAAUAAAUAA